AGGACGAACGCUGGCGGCGUGCUUAACACAUGCAAGUCGAACGGUAAGGCCCCUUCGGGGGUACACGAGUGGCGAACGGGUGAGUAACACGUGAGCAACCUGCCCUUGACUCUGGAAUAACAGCUGGAAACAGCUGCUAAUACUGGAUACGACCUCCGGCGACAUCGCCUGGAGGUGGAAAGCUCCGGCGGUCAAGGAUGGGCUCGCGGCCUAUCAGCUUGUUGGUGAGGUAAUGGCUCACCAAGGCUUCGACGGGUA
rnacentral:rRNA from 1 species